GCCACUGACCACGGGAGCCCGCACCGAGCGGGCUGAGAGGGCGGCUGGGGCCGCCGACCGUCCGGACCUGUCCGGGUCGUGCCGGCGUAGGGAGGCCGUACGUGCGUGCC
rnacentral:ncRNA from 1 species